AGCGAACGUUAGCGGCAGGCCUAACACAUGCAAGUCGCACGAGAAUUCGGCUUCGGCCGAUAGUAAAGUGGCGGACGGGUGAGUAACACGUGGAUAAUCUGCCCUUCGGCGGGGGACAACAGUCCGAACGGAUUGCUAAUACCGCAUACGUCAACGAGGUCUUCGGACCUUGUUGGGAAAGGUGGCCUCUUCAUGAAAGCUACCACCGAAGGAUGAGUCCGCGUCCCAUCAGCUAGUUGGCGGUGUAAUGGACCACCAAGGCUAAGACGGGUAGCUGGUCUGAGAGGAUGAUCAGCCACACUGGGACUGAGACACGGCCCAGACUCCUACGGGAGGCAGCAGUGGGGAAUAUUGGGCAAUGGGCGCAAGCCUGACCCAGCCAUGCCGCGUGAGUGAUGAGGGCCUUCGGGUCGUAAAGCUCUGUGGGGAGGGAAGAAACGGCUUGUGGCUAACAUCCACGAGCCCUGACGGUACCUCCUUAGCAAGCACCGGCUAACUCCGUGCCAGCCGCCGCAGUAA
rnacentral:rRNA from 1 species